CCGUGAAAUGGAAAUCCGAGCUUUUCUGGUAGGUGGUAGUUUGUUAAUAGACAACUUAUCUAUGUAGUGUGUAGCUCCAGGGUGACUUUCAGAUCCAUUGAUCACAGCAUUCCUCAACUUGGCAACAUUCCAGGGAGUCACUCUCUCAGGAUAAGUUUACUGCAAAGCAUGGAGGGAUUCCAAUUUCAUUAACACCUAAAUAGGGAUCUGGGGAGAUAACAGAUCGACAUGCAUAAUUAACC
rnacentral:misc_RNA from 1 species